rnacentral:lncRNA from 10 species
GGGUGGGGGAGGGGUGGGGAUUCUGGUGUAAGCUUUUGGCUUGCAUUCGCUUUCUCCCUCCGAAAGUGGGCGACAUCAAGCAAGUCCCAGUUACAGAAAGAACCCACUGCAGGGCGUCCAGUCACUUGCCCAGUGAAAAGACUGUAAUCAGACAACUUUAAUAAAGGGAGAGCAGGAGAGUGGUGACGAAUUUCCACAUUCCGAACAAGCUUGUCGAAAGAGGAGUGCAGGGAAGGAGCAAGAAUGAGGCACUGGAAGACGGCUGUAGGCGCAUGAUGUCACAAGUUAUUGGAAGAAAUCCCUCCAACCUAGGUUGGGACAGAUGAAGGCGGCGCUUAUUGGUGUUCACCAAAACACCAGCAUGGUGUACCAGCUUUGGCUAGAUGAUGCUCAGACGGGCCUGUCUAAUUGCAGGAAAACAAACUCAGGGCUCCCACUGAUUCUACAUUACGAACACCAGAGACUGGGUAAUUAAUAAAAAGAAGAAAUUGAUCUGGCCUACAGUUCUGGAGCCUUGGAAGUCCGAGAUCAAGGAGCUGCAUCUGGGUUCUAGGAUGCCUCAUAAAGGCCCGUAGUGUACUUUCUGUCUACUUCACUUAGCUCCGCAUUUGCAAUUUCUGUUAACAUGCAUACAGUUGAAUGGAUGGCCAGGAUCAAAGCUAUCUGCUGUGAGACACAAUGAGAAAUGCUUUUGUGUAAAGAUAAAUACCUGGAGUGGGAUUGCUAGAUCACAUGGAAAACACAGAUCCUGGUGCCGAACAUGAGGACAGGGCAGGCCGAAGGAGAAAGUGGAAGGAGGGGAGCUUCUCUCUCAGCCUCAUCCUUCUGGGCCUGGAUGCUGGAGAGUCAUGAGGUGCUUCAGAGUACUCUGGGUGAGGAGGGAAAGAUGGUGCCCACCACAUGGAGGCCAGCCUAGGUCUUGUAUGAAACCUGUGAGGCCAGCAGGAGCCAGGCCGUGGCCUGCUGACUGCAUCUGCCAGAUGACUACCAAUGUGAGAUUCUCUCUCCCUUGCUGUCUUUGAAAAAGCAAGUUGCCAUGUGAAGAGGGCCAUAUAGCAUAGGAGCUGAAGGCAGCCUCCAACUGACGGCAAGAAAAUGAGGUCCUCAGUCUGACAACCUGCAAGAAACUGAAUGUUCUAAAAGCCACAUGAGCUUGGGAGCAGAUCUGACCCCAGCCAAAUCUCUGAAGUCCGCAGGCAGGAAAUGAAGAUCAGAAAAAGGCUAUUGUCUCAUGAAUAUGAGCCAGACUCCACAGAAGCUGGAGUCCUUCAUUAUGGAGCUAAACACAUACACCUGGCUUAGGAGUCAGAAAAACUGAAAGAGAAUUCAGGGAAGUAGAGAAAUUGCAAGCCCAGAUGCUGCUUCAUACCAAAGAAGCAAGUCAGCAGGUCAGCAACAAUGUGUAUCAGUUCCAAAAUGACUUACACAGGUACCAAGACAAGACAUUAUAUACACUUAUAUAGUCAAAUACUUUAAAACUGUUAACAAACUUGCUACAAUUGUCUCAUUUGUCUUUUAACCUUAAUAUCACAGAUCAAGUUUGUAAUCUCAAAAGUUCACCCUGGCUGCUGUGUGGAGUAUUCUCUUAUCUGCUCAUAUUACACUGUGCUUAUUCAUUCAUCAGUUAAUGGAAAUUUGGGUUGUUUCCUGAUUUUGACUGUAAUGAAUAAUGUUGCUGUAAACAUUCAUGUACAGUUUUGUGUGGACAUGCUUUUCUUUCUCUUGGGUAGGUUCCUAUGAGUGGAAUCACUAGAUUGUAUGGUAAAUGUAUGUUUAACUUUUAAAGAAACUGUCAAACUGUUUUCUAACAUGAACGGGCCAUUUUACGUUCUUAUCAACAAUAUAUGAUGGUUUCAAUUUUCCCACAUCCUCACCAACAUUUGGUAUUGUCUCUCUUUUACAUCAUAACUAUUUUAGUGGGGAUGUAGUGAUAUCUUAUCGUGGUUUUAAUUUGUGUCUCCCUAAUGACUAAUGAUAUUGUGCAUCUUUGCAUAUGCUUGUUAGCCAUUUAUGUACAUUCUUUAGUGAAAUGGCUAUUCAAAUCUUCUGCCCAUUUAAAAAUCGAGUUGUUUUUCUUAUUAUUCAGUUGUAAGAGUUUUUUCUUUAUUCUGUGCAAAAGUCCUUUAUCAAGUCUAGGAUUUUUGAAUAUUUUCUCAACCUAGAGCUUGUUUUUCAACAUUUUUUUCUUAAUGAUCUUUUGAAGUGCAAAAGUUUGAUUUUGAUGAAGUCUAAUGUAUCACUUCUUCCUUUAACUGUCAUGAUUUUUGUGUCGUAUCUAAGAACUCUUUACCCAACUCAAAGUUACCAAGGUAUUUUCUUCCAGAAGUUUUGCAGUUUUAACUCUUCUAUAUAGGCCUGUGAUCCAUUUUUAAUUCAUUUUUUGCAUAUGAUGUGAGAGAAGGGCCUAAGUUCAUAUUCGUACAUGUGGAUGUACAAUGGUUCCAGGAUCACUUGCUGAGAAAAGACUAUCCUUUCCCCAUUGAUUUUUUUGGCACCUGUGUCAAAAAUCAAUUGACCAUAAAUGCAAGCGUUUAUAUCUGAACUCUCAGUUCUUCUCCAUUCAUCUCUAAGGAUAUGUCUAUGCUUACAUCAAUAUCACAGUGUAUUCAUGUGGCUUUGUAGUAAAUUUUGAAAUUGGGUGAUAGAAGUCUUUCAAUUUUGUUCUUAGUUUUCAGAAUAGUUUUGGCUGUACUUUGCAUUUUGAUACAAAUUUUAGGAUGUAUGUGUGAAGUUUUACAAAAAUGCUUGCUGGAGUUUUGAUAGGAAUUGUGUUGAACCUAUAGAUCUAUUUGAGGGGGGAAUUGCCAUCUUGACAAGCUUGAGUCUUCCAAUCCAUGGACAGGGAAUGUCUCCAUUUAUUUAAAUCUUCAUUAAUUUUUCUUAGUAACGUUUCACAAUUUUUAGCGUACAAGUCUUAAACUUUUAUUACAUUUAUUUCUGUUUAUUCUUUUUGAGGCUUUGUGAAUAGAAUUUUUUUAAUUUUAUUUUUUGGGCUUGACAUUGCUGAUAUAUACAAAUACAAUAGAUUUUUAAAAUACUGAUCUUAGAUCCUGCAGCUUUGCUAAAUUCUUCGAUUAGUUCUAGAUAUUUUGUGUAUAGAUUCCUUGGUGUUUUCUAUACGCAAGAUUAUGCCAUCUGCAAAUAGAAGCAGUUUUAAUUCUUCCUUUACUCUCAGUCUGCUUUUAAUGAGCUAUUAUGUCUUCUGUUCUGUAUUGGUCAAACCCUCACCUGGAUCACAGUAUUUAUUACUGACCAUCACAGUUUCCUUGAGGAAAUGAAAAAAAUUAAAAAGAUAAAGUAACUAUUACCAUAAUCCCUACAUUCGGACACAAUAUUUAUGAGCAUGUGGGGUAAAUUCUUCCAGACACUCUUGCUAGAGGACGUGUAGCAGAGCUUAUGAUGCACUGAGCCACAUCCUCCAGCCACCAGAUUCCAGUGUAGCUGUGGUGAACUUUGCCUUGCACUUUACCAGUGUCCAUAUAAGCUCAUAUCACAGUGUCUUUCUGUUUUGCUUUCUGGAGGUCAGGGAAGCCUGCUGAGCUAUAUGUAGACCCAACCCAUAUUUUCAAGGUAAUACUCCUUAGUUGAUAGAAGCCCUCAGUCGAUGGGAACAGGAUUUCAUGGAUUAAUGCCCCAGCUCCCCCAUCCUGCAGGACAUAGAAUGUGUGACUAUCCAAGAUGCUUGCAACAUGGUUUCUCAGAGUUCCCAAUGGAAUUGAAUCCCAGCUGCAUACAACUGUAACCCACUCAUUUAUUAACUUUUCUCCCUUCCUCUUUCCCUUCACUUCUGUUUCCUAAGACUACUUCCCUCUAAAUGAUCUGCACCCAAGUCCUUGUCUCAAGGUCUUCUAGAGAAACCCAAACUAAGGCAGUUUGUCAAGGGACAAACUAGGGUACAUCUUUGAAACAGUCAUUAGGAGAGUGAGAGGUCCUGCAACGAUGUAAUAUAAAAGCAGUGAAAAUAGCUGAGAAAAUUAGAAAAAGAGAAAACUUACAGGAAUAAUCAUAGUCAUCUUUAAAUACCUGCAAAGUAAUCAGAUAUAAGAGGACCAAAGGAGACACUGGUUUUAACUGAGCACCUUCCAGGUUAUAUACUAGCUACUAUGAAGUGUAUUUAUUCCAUCCUUACAGCAACCCAGAGGCAAUGAGAACUACCCUUAUUUUUCAAAUAAGAAAACUGAGACACAGAUGAUUAAGGAAUUUGCCAAGGUCCAAAGCUAACAGGUAUUGGAACUAGGAUUCAAAUCCAAGCCUGUCUGCCCCCUAACCUGUGUCUUGCUGCUGUGUGUUUUGCUUUGAAGGGCAAAACAGAGACCAGCAGGUAGACAUUCUAAAUCCAUAGAAUUGUGUUUAUAUGAAUGCAGUGUGUGGCAGAGAUUGUCUAGAUGUUCAUCAAUGCUGUUUUCUCUGUUCUGUUUCUGGACAUACAGGAACACUUCAUGUCCUAGCCUCCUUUAUAAGUAGAUUGGGGCCAUGUAACAGGGUUCUGGCAAAUGGGAAUGUGCAGAUGUGAUAUGUGAUGCUCCUGAUUCAUUCAUUCUGUCUCUUUCUCUCUCUCCCUCUCAGCUAGCUGAAAGCAGAGAACCCAGCAGAGGAUUCUGGGAAGGUCCUGGGGGAUGGCAGAGCCAGCAGAGAGAGGGUAUGGAUCCACCAGGCAUAGGAUGGAACAGAGCACUAUUGACCACAGUGAACUGGGGCAUGGGCAAUCAAUAAACACAUAUUAGAUUAAGCUAUUGAGACUCAGGGAUUUUUAUACAACUGACAUUCCCUAAGAAGCCAUGAUCUUCCUGUCUCAGGAGGUGCAUAAGCAGUGGUUGAAUGUUCAACAGUCAAGAAUGUUAUAAAAAGAGGUUCUUGGGAGAGUGGACCUGAUGGCCAGCAAAAAUCAUAGCUCACAUUUAUUGAGUUAUUAUGGCUCAGGCAUGUGCACAUAUUCUUUUAUUUAAAUCUACAAUAUGCUUUAUCAUGCUCAUUUUAUACAUGAGGAACACAAGGCAUGGAGAGGUUAGAUAACAUGCCUAAGAUCAUGAAGCAAGCAAGGGGGAGAAAAGAUACCCUUCUCACUCCUUCCAGACAGCUCACUUCACCACCACUCCCCACUGUCUCUAAAGCAAAAGUUAUUUGAAGGCUUAGGGACUGGUUUGGUAUUAUCCAUGCAGGGCGGUUUGUUUUGUUUUUCUUUUAAAAUUUCAGCCUAUGCUUAAAAGAUUUCAUGUAAAAAUUCUGUUUUCUAGUUUCUCUUGAAAAUUAAGAAGAUCUGGUAAAACUGGGCUUGAAGACCAUUAUGGUAACAGGCUGCUGAAGCUGAGGAGAGGGCCCCUUCAGAUGGGCAUAAGCACUGCUCCCCCUCCCCAACCCCCCUUUUAGGUUACUAUCAGACUCUGGAAGCUUCUGAAUGUGUGAACCCUGAAAGAGUCCAUCUAAAGCUAAGUUCUCCCCAGGGGUAGAGCCCAAUGCUGGGCAUACAGUAGGG